rnacentral:rRNA from 1 species
GACGAACGCUGGCGGCGUGCUUAACACAUGCAAGUCGAACGGAAAGGCCCUGCUUUUGUGGGGUGCUCGAGUGGCGAACGGGUGAGUAACACGUGAGUAACCUGCCCUUGACUUUGGGAUAACUUCAGGAAACUGGGGCUAAUACCGGAUAGGAGCUCCUGCUGCAUGGUGGGGGUUGGAAAGUUUCGGCGGUUGGGGAUGGACUCGCGGCUUAUCAGCUUGUUGGUGGGGUAGUUGAUUACCAAGGCUUUGACGGGUAGCCGGCCUGAGAGGGUGACCGGGCACAUGGGGACUGCGAUACGGACCAGACUGCUACGGGAGGCAGCAGUGGGGAAUAUUGCACAAUGGGCGGAAGCCUGAUGCAGCAACGCCGCGUGCGGGAUGACGGCUUUCGGGUUGUAAACCGCUUUCGCCGGUGAUGAAGCGUGAGUGACGGUAAUGGGUAAAGAAGCACCGGCUAACUACGUG